AGCGUUUGAUCAUGGCUCAGGACGAACGCUGGCGGCGCGCCUAACACAUGCAAGUCGAACGAGCGAGAGAGAGCUUGCUUUCUCGAGCGAGUGGCGAACGGGUGAGUAACGCGCGAGGAACCUGCCUCAAAGAGGGGGACAACAGUUGGAAACGACUGCUAAUACCGCAUAAGCCCACGACCCGGAAUCGGGUAGAGGGAAAAGGAGCAAUCCGCUUUGAGAUGGCCUCGCGUCCGAUUAGCUAGUUGGU
rnacentral:rRNA from 1 species